AUGAAGGACAGCUUUUGUGAAUCAGUCUCUAAACGGUUAAACCAGUUAUUACACAAUCUGGGUAAACUGGGAAUAUUUUUGCGGCUCAAUGAGUUUGUAUCACUGUGGUUCACGUUCGGUGGAGGAACCAGACUGGAAUUUGGAAGUGAUGUCCGUCCCACCCUGACGGUGCUGCCCCCCUCCAGUGAGGAGCUGCAGCAGGGGAAGGCCACGCUCAUGUGUCUGGCCAACAAGGGCUUCCCCUCAGACUGGAGUCUGGCCUGGAAGGUGGACGGCAGCAGCAGCAGCAGCAGCUGGGAGGAGAGCAGGAGCCCUGGGGUGCUGGAGAAGGACGGCCUCUACAGCUGGAGCAGCACCCUGAGGCUCCCUGCAGACCAGUGGAGGAAGGUGGGCUCUGUGACCUGUGAGGCCACCCAGGGCUCCCAGACUCCACUCUCAGAGACACUGAGGAGAGACCAGUGUUCCCAGUCCUGACCUGACUCACUGGGACUCUGCUGCUGGUUUUACUCUGCUACUGCUCUCAGUCUGCUCUCUGUCUCUCUCAUGACGUUUCAGUGUGAACAUGUUCUUGCUUGUGUUGAUGGUUUCAAUAUCUCAAAGCAAUAAAGAUUUGAUCAAAUGUA